CUGGAACAUUCGCAUCGGAAAGCAAGGUUAUGUGUUUAUUUUAACUGAUUUUAAGAAGUGGUUUUGAUGUUUCAAUCCAGACAAUCACUGUGUCAACAAUUAUUUUGAGACUGAGAAAAGUUCAAUGUUUUAACGCUCUACUUUAAGCUUGAUGGGCACGUAUUAUGGUCUCCAAGGAAACUUCAGGUGUUAAGGUAAGAGAGAAGAAUACAAGACAUAUUUCUGUUGAAGAGCGCGGAGAUGUAGAGCUGUAUUUGUUUGCAGUCACGUGUCAUUUCAUUUCAACUACUUGGUGUUUGUGCGCACUGCUACGGAUCCCAUAUUUCAACAUGACGUGCAGUGCAUGCGUGCUUUAACGCUAAAAGUAUGCCCUGAACAGUGGGCUGUGGCUUGGGAACAUCAGAUGCGGCAGAGAAUUUUUCCUAUCCGUUUAUCCCUGUCAAGCCGUUUUCACUAAGAUUACACUGACCAAACGACAGAUAAAUGGCGAAAGGGCUUUCCUAUUUAUCUAGAAACCUUUAUGACACGAGAUCCAAUAUACAAUCCUAAAUAAAUAUAGAAAACAAAUAUGUCGUGUUUUCAAGUACUCGUCGUGUUUAAUGACAGCAAUGAUACGUUACAUGGCUUUGGUUUGUUCAAGUUUGGUAAGCAGGCUAUAAAAACGGAGUAUUAUAAUAAAACACGAAUUUAAUACUUAGCUCAUCAUUUAAAUUUUCUGAAGUUAACUUGCGAAUAAGGAUCGGUCAGUUGAAAGUGAUGAAGCUUAUGAACCUUUCAACAGUUUUAGCGUCCAAGAAUCAUCUUAAUUUGAAUUGACGAAUUCGAUAAAUACAAAUUUUCCAACCGCAGUGUAAAUAAGUAAUCGGUUUGUUUUGGCUUUGCGGGCUGGGUUGUUCCAAAAGCCGGUUUACGCGGACUCGGGAUUAAAAGUUAGGGGAAGUUAAAUUUUUUCUUGUUUAAAAAUGUUUUUCACGCUUAUGUUUUGAGUAGUUUGAGAUUACCCAAGCUCAAAAGUGAAGGACUAUAAAAUAUAAACGGAAAACCUCAUCGAAAAGUUUAAAGGAAAUAUCUUGCUAAUUCUGACUUAGCUUGAUCGGGCUUUGAACAAUCCGUCCCUGAACAAAAUGCUGCCCUUUUUAAAGGGAACUAAUGCGUUAUUUUAUUUCAUUUUUUUUUUUUUUUUGCCUUCCUAAUGCCGUCUUUCAUGCUAUUAAUUUACAAAAAAUGCCGAGUAGAUUUACAUUUUAUUUUUCUCCAAUGUUUAAUCAUAGUCAAUUUCUAACGGCUGAAAUUUUGGGGCGGGGUUCCACGGGUUCAUUUUGAGAAACACCUUAUGAAAACUACUAGUGCCCAGUCUCUUCCUUAGUGCUUGGUCGUUCAUUUUGGUUAUUUGUUAACCUUUGCAUUGUUCAAGUGUCGUAAUAAUAUGGUUAAACACUUGAGGAAACAAUAAUCAGAGAACAAAAAAACAAAAACGAAAACAAAAACAAAAACAAAAAAAAUCGCGGAACACUAUUUAAGUGUGCAAGCUGGACUUUUUUACUAAUCCCAGCUUGACAAUGGUUUUUACUCGGUAGCGCAUAAGCUUGA